AAAAGUAAUUGCGGUUUUUGCUAUUGGUUUUAAUGGCAGUUACUUUUGCACCAG
rnacentral:pre_miRNA from 1 species